CAAUUAAAAGCUUUCUUUAAUUGAAUAAUUGAAUUUAAUUUUUUAGUGCAAAAGCAAAAAUAAAAAUUAGGGACAAGAAGACCCUAUGAAUUUUUUAUUAAAUUUUAUAAAACUUUAUAUAAAGUUUAAUUUAAUUGGGGUGAUGGAAAAAGAAUAAAUAUCUUUUUUUUAAAGAAAAUUGGUUCCGUUUUUAGCGAUUAAAUGAAAAAAAUACUCUAGGGAUAACAGCGUAAUAAUUUUGGAUAGUUCAUAUAGAUAAAAUAGUUUGCGACCUCG
rnacentral:rRNA from 1 species